rnacentral:rRNA from 1 species
UGAGCUCAAAUCAGGUAGGACUACCCGCUGAACUUAAGCAUAUCAAUAAGCGGAGGAAAAGAAACUAACAAGGAUUCCCCUAGUAACUGCGAGUGAAGCGGGAAAAGCUCAAAUUUAAAAUCUGGCGGCUUUGGUCGUCCGAGUUGUAUCCUAGAGAAGUGUUUUCCGCGUUGGACCGUGUAUAAGUCUCUUGGAACAGAGCGUCAUAGAGGGUGAGAAUCCCGUCUUUGACACGGACUACCAAUGCUUUGUGAUACACUCUCAAAGAGUCGAGUUGUUUGGGAAUGCAGCUCAAAAUGGGUGGUAAAUUCCAUCUAAAGCUAAAUAUUGGCGAGAGACCGAUAGCGAACAAGUACCGUGAGGGAAGGAUGAAAAGCACUUUGGAAAGAGAGUUAAACAGUACGUGAAAUUGCUGAAAGGGAAACGAUUGAAGUCAGUCGCGUUAGCUAGAACUCAACCAGGCUUGCUUGGCGUAUUUUCUAGUUAACGGGCCAGCAUCAGUUCUGACCGCAGGAAAAAGGCCAGAGAAAUGUGGCACCCUCGGGUGUGUUAUAGUCUUUGGUCAUAUACUGCGAUUGGGAUUGAGGUUCGCAGCACGCGCAAGCUGUGCUUAGGAUGCUGGCGUAAUGGCUUUAAACGACCCGUCUUGAAACACGGACCAA